AUUGAACGCUGGCGGCAUGCCUAACACAUGCAAGUCGAACGGCGGCACAGUAAAGACUUCGGUCUUUAUGGGUGGCGAGUGGCGGACGGGUGAGUAACGCGUAGGAAUCUGUCCUGGAGAGUGGGAUAACCCGAGGAAACUCGGGCUAAUACCGCAUGAUAUCGAGAGAUCAAAGGCAGGGGACCCUUCGGGGCCUUGCGCUCUAGGUUGAGCCUACGUCGGAUUAGCUAGUUGGUGGGGUAAAGGCCUAACAAGGCGACGAUCCGUAGCUGGGCUGAUAGGAUGACCGGCCACGCGGGGACUGAGACACGGCCCAGACUCCUACGGGAGGCAGCAGUGGGGAAUCUUGGACAAUGGGGGAAACCCUGAUCCAGCGAUGCCGCGUGUGUGAAGAAGGCCUUCGGGUUGUAAAGCACUUUAGGUGGGGAAGAAAGGUAAUGAGUGAAUAACUGAUUGCGUUGACGGUACCCGCAGAAUAAGCACCGGCUAACUCUGUGCCAGCCGCCGCCGUAA
rnacentral:rRNA from 1 species